rnacentral:lncRNA from 1 species
AGCUUGCCCUUGACAGGUGGGGGCUGGCUGGGGCCUUAAUGUGAAAAGACAGUGGCAGGCAGCUGGAGUAGAGCGAGCCCAGCAGCCCUAAAAGGCUGCCUUCAUGGCCAUCUAGCCCCAGUUCAGGGCAGCAUCCAUAGCCCACAAGCCAGCGUGGGUGGGGCGGGGGUGGUCCCACAGCUGGGUUCCACCUGAAGAGCCUCCGUGCCUCGGAGCAGGAGAGGCAGGCUAUGGCUGCCACCCUCCCUCCUGCCUGUGUCCCAGUGAGAACUGACCUGAGUCCCCUUCCAAACCCAGACCCACCUCCUGCCCCAGGCCCACUGAAGCAUGUUCCAUUUCUAAAAAGCCCAGAGUUCAGUGUGUCCCAAGGAAAACCCAAAGUGGAGGUGCUCAGGUCCAGGGGAGUCCAGUGGGCAGGACCCUUGGCAGGCAAGCCCCUCCCUUCACUCCCAGGACCUACCUUCUGCUAGUAAAGGACUGGCUUCAUUCUAAUUAUGGCCCACAGACUGCCCCGGAGACCUGGAGGACAGCAGUGCUGGCACUUGGGUGUCCAUGGGCCCGUCUGCCGGCUCUGCCUGUGCUGCAAGUGUUGGCCGUGGGUCCAGCCAACAACUCCCUACGUCCUGUGUGGGGCCCUGCCCAAGUGGAUGAGGCAUUCCUUGAGGAGUAUCAUUUUCCCUGACAAUCCCCAUCACCUUUAGGGGUUCCCUGCUUGGCUCCUUUCCAGCUGAAAAACUAGACCUGUGCCAUUGGGGAAGCUGGACAAAGUCUAGGGGGCCCGCCUGGUAGAGGGUCCCGGGAAGCUGGAUCUGUCAGCCUCGGCCCUGAGGCCCCUGUUAACUCAAGACUGUGAGCUGCCUCUAGGUGGUCACGUCUGGGAGCUAGCUUGUAUGGCUUCUGACCAGUAUCAGGAUUUCUGUUCUGAGAGCAGCGUGGGCAGCAAGGCAGGGCAGCCCAGAGGUGGCAGCGGCAGGCAAUCUGGUCACUAGGUCUUUGUGAUGCCAAAAAUAAAAGAGGGUGGGGUGGGUGCUUUCUGUUCCUCUGAUUGGAUGGAGUCCGCCAGCAGGCAUGGGGCUACAUUCCAGUGCCUGACUAUAGGGAGGCACUCCUGAUUCCAUGGAGCAGCCCGGACUUUGAGAAUGGGCUCUGGUUUGCGGGGGGCAGGCGUACCAGACUGCAAGACCCCCCAGUACCUCACCGUGCCAAAUAGGAAGAGGUGGCCUUGGUGUAGCCAAAUGGAUCUUUUUAACAGUGUGCCUUUGGGGAGGGACCCAUGUCCAUGGCUUCGUUGAGGGCCAUCCAUAUGCCAGCUGGGGGCCAGCCCACAGUGGCCAUAUUGGCUGCAGCAGGAAUGGUGCCCACCUCGGCGAAUUGAAGGGCUAAGAGUCCCAGAUAGCUAGGCCAGAGCUGGAAGCAGACAGUAAGGGGAAGAGCUGCUCCCACAGGAGAGGGAGAGAUUCCAGCUCACUGCGCAGCCUGGGAGGAGGCGUGGAUCCUGGCACGCUGAGCCUCAGGCACCAGCCUCCCUGUGCUCGACAGCAAAGUCUUGACUCCUUCCUGCUGAGCACUGUGCUACCUUCACUGCUCCAAAGCCAGACUAACAGCUCUCCAAGCCCUUGGGGUGACUCGGCUUCCAGGAGCUGUUGGAGAAAUGAGGAUGUCUGUCCCUGUCUGCCUGGGCAGGCCAGAUUCCUCCCCAGCAGCCGGGUCUCUCCAGACCCUGAUUCGGUGCCUUUCUGUUUACCAGCUACUUCAAUCCCAAAGUUUGAAUCUGCAGAUACCUUACUCCCAGCCACUUUGCCUUCUUACUGUGUUGUGUGUUUUUCCUGGUGCUUCAAGAGCGUGUGCAGGGCAAGUGCCGUCACUGGGAACUGCACCAGAUGCUCAGACUUGGUUGUCUUAUGUUUACCAAUAAAUAAAAGUAGACUUUUUCUAUUUUUAUUUGCUGCUAUUUGUGUGUGUGUUUGUGUUUGUGUAGCUAGGUAUCUGGCACUUCUGACGAUGCAUUGUUGCUUUUUUCCCGAAGGUCCCGCAGGAACUGUGGCAAUGGUGUGUGUGUGAAAUGGUGUGUUAACCGCGUUUUGUUUGCUCCUGUAUUGAAUAGGAAGCAGUGGCCAGUCUGUCUUCCUUAGAGAUGUUAGCAUAUUUUUAUAUGUAUAUAUUUUGUACCAAAAAAGAGUGUUCCUUGUUUUGGUUACACUCGAAAUUCUGACCUAGCUGGAGAGGGCUCUGGGCCGAGAGCUUUCACUAAGGGGAGACUUCAGGGGAGGAUCAAGCUUUGAACCAAAGCCAAUCACUGGCUUGAUUUGUGUUUUUUAAUUAAAAAAAAAAUCAUUCAUGUAUGCCACUUCUAA